AGCUUAUCUUCAUUGAGCCCAACCCCAUGUGCCCGACUAUAAAUAACAGACUUGAUCAUGAACUUUCGAAGAUCAGGACAUCUAAUCUUUUGGAAGUGGAAAGAGAAAAGGACUCAGUGACAGCCUGCUAAACUUGAUUGUUCCCUGAUAUUUGGUUAGGUUAUAUCCUUCAAUUGCCUUGAGUUUGUAUUAUAUUAGUACAUGUCAAUUUGGCCUCUGAUUUGUAUUUUCUAAUUAUUCUUUAUAUCUGAAUCUCUUGAUUUUUGGUCAGAUUGUUACAACUUUCUGGGGUCCUUCAAUUUGAAACCUUGAUAAAGAUUAUGAGAACGAAUUUGAAAACAAUGAGUAAUUUGAUAUUUUAUUUUACAAACUUGUUAACUACCCAUCAAUAUAUACUAAAUAUUGGAGAAUCAUAUAAGCCUUUGAUUCAGUAGCGGAAACCAAGUUUAAUGGGCAGAAACCGUGAUCAACAUCGGCUUUCAGCAUUUUCGCACCCCAAAUGGCGUAGCUCACACCUUUUAAAGUAUGAUUUGUACACCUUAUGCCGUAGCUCGCACCUUUUAAAGUAUGAUUUGUACACCUUUCACAGGAUGAAUGCUCCAUGUUGCUUUGUCAUGAUUAUGUUAUUGCAUGCUGGUCUAUAAUUGGCUCAUGAUUUUUUUUGUUUUGUUUGUGGAAAGCUGCAAAUACAUGGAAUGGGGGAGAAUUAAUCAGAUCAGCACUACCCUACUAUCUCAUUAAUUGUAGUUAUAAUUAUUUCUCCUUGUUGAAACAUCUUCCACAGACAAGGAUGAUGCAGAGAUGAACAUGGAAAAUGUCUUAGAAAACCUCAUUAAUUUUCUCUUGGAUAUGAUGCGUGUUGUGCCCUUAGAAGAAAUACCAUCUCCCAUUGUGCUGUUGGAAUUGUCAAAUUUUAGCAUUUCUGGCUACUAAUUCUCUCUUAUGCAAAUAAUAUAUGCAGCCAAAGAAAGAUUCGGAUAUGCAGUGAUCUGAUCGAACAUCCUUUUGGUACUAAGCUUUGGGCUUUAUGUUAACAUUUAGUGAGGCUCAUUGAACAUGGUUACUAGCUCUAUGAAUUUAUGCUAUUUAAGUUCUCUUUGUACUUUUNNNN
rnacentral:lncRNA from 1 species